rnacentral:tRNA from 1 species
GCCCGGUUAGCUCAAUCGGUUAGUACUCCUGACUCGUCUUGGGCCCAAUUUCCAUGGAACCGUGGCUAACCCUCCCAAAAGGUAGAGCGUGAGACUCUUACGAGUACGCGAUCUCAAGGUUGCGGGUUCGACCCCCGCAUCGGGCU